GGAAUUUUACCACAUGACAGGAGGCUUCAUAUUUGCAUAUCUUUCUUUACUGAAACCUCCAGCAGCAUAGAAACAGUAACAACCAAUCAGAGAAAAGAUAUGGUGCCCAUAAAAGGCCCUGUCUAUGACAUCACUUCCUCUUUCUUUGCUGCUCCAGCCAUCAACAGGUCAGAGUAAUUUUUCCUCUCUGGUUUUUGUACCUGUAGUUACCUUAUUAUUGUAUUUUAUUGUGUUUCUUAUUUUACUCCCUGUCUACCUAUACCUGUCCCCUCCUGUUUCCCUUACUCAGUAUUGCCCCUGUCUACGUUUGUGCUUCUGAGUCUUUUGGCCCUUGCGGUCGGGCGGUCCAGGGGGCAGGGUGGGGACUGGUGGAGGGUAGCCGGGGUUAGAAUUUACUGUUUGCCGCGUUUUUUCCCGUCCUGCUCGCGGCCGCGAGCGGGUAGCUCAUACUCACACGGCCGGCGGCCAUCUUGGAUCUCACGGCUCGCAAGACCCGCGACGGCCGCCUUUCUCUACACUCGGCGGUUAUGGAAUCACCCGAUCACCGCAACGGAUUUGGGGGGAUUACCCUCAGGUUUUUCCCCCCCCUAAAGGCUGUAUAAUUUCAAGUAUACUCCUCUCUCUCAGGACAGCUCACUACAUCGGAAUAUCACCUUUCCACUAACCAACAAGGAUAUUUUACAAGUGACAAGUGGUCAAAGCAUGCACAAUUUAUGAUUUGUUUAUGAAGGCUGUAUAAUAUCAAGUAUACAUUUAUCGUUAUUAUAAUUGAACAUACUGCCUCUCUAGUCCCGGCAGGGACAGAUGCAACGCUAUCUACCCCACAGGGGAUCGGAUACUGCUAUACCCUUCAAGGGGAAUAUCAUAUUGGUUACCCUGCACAGGGUCAUAUUACAUUACUGUACCCAAGGGUGCAAAAAUUAU